AAUUAAUACUUACAGUUUUUGUCAGUUUCAUUGGCAUGCAGCCAGAAGUUUGCAGAGAUUUAUUUCCGUUUGGGUAAUGUAGUAGCAAUAGAAGAACAGCAUUACCUUUCCACGUGCUAAGCAAAUUUAUUAUAUCUCAGUGACAGCGUGUUUGAAUUGGCUCUCUGUAUUGCUGGCUAACUGCAGCUGUUUGUACAUCAUCCUUCAUCAACCGUGGUCACCACUUCUGUGGCUGGACUUCACCGAUCCUGAAAAGAAUUUUCGUCAUUGAGGCGCCAGUGAAUAUUCUUUCCCUUCUAAACCCCUGUCUGCUGGCAGCGCCGCCUGAUGAUGUAGGGGCUGGACUCUCCCUACUGGAACGCAAGCUGGAGGUCGCUUAGCAACAUCCACCUGCGUCUACCCGGAAGUGAGGUUCACGCUGACACCCGGCGUCUGCAGCUGUGGACGAUUGCGGCGGCGGGAGGAUGGCUUGUGGUAUCAGUGAUUGCUAGGGGUGCAGCUGUUUACAUGGCCAUAUGUUGCCGAUUAUCCAGUGCAGAAAGAGGUUAUAAAGUGGAUACUCGAGAGAUUGCCUCCUCCCAAGUUAUCAGCAUGUAAAACAACCUAUGACUCCAUCCAAGAGCCAAAGAAUAUAAAGUCUUUGUUAUACAGUGCAUCCUCUUUCCAUGACCUGUAAAAAGAAAGAAAACAGAGGCACAAUAGUACAUUACCCUAAAAGAGGAAGAAAGGGCUCUGGGAUUCAGAAGUGCUGACAAUCAGACAAUAGAGAGAUUGACAAGUAUACGCAGCACAUUAUUACCACAUAAAGAGUUAAUUGAAUGAGCAGAAUUUAUUCUGUGUGUCAUAUUCUUCCCCCCCCCCCCCUUCCUUCCCCUCAGUUUAAGAUGCAGUGAAUUGCACAAGGCUGACCAGAAGUCCAGAAAUGACAUUAUACUGUACAUCAGAACGUGCCUAGCCAACGGGGGAAAAUCGCAAGGAAUGCAGAAUUCUGGGAGCGACUCGCUAGAUGAUGUAACUAAAAGGCACCGUGGGAAUGUAACAGGAAAAGGGUGAUCAGAUAAGCUUAUCUACAAAUGAGGUUAAAGAUUAGAAAUACCUUUACAGAUGUAAAUAAUUCCAGGGGAAAGGUUUAGAGAUUAUUUACUGCUACACUAAACAAAAGGCAAUCUUUUUACAUUUUUAAUCACACAUACACACAAGAAUAAAUAAAUACAUUUAAAAAAUGGACUAAAUGCAUAAUAAAAGGAGGUUGUUUGGCUAUGUCAUGAAUGGGGCGGGGCCAUGUCUCCACCCUAAAACUCAGGAUGGUCCCACCUGAACCGGGAUAGUUGGGAUGUACU